UACAGACCAAGUUAGUAAGAGCUAUUGGUGGAUGCCUUGGCAUUGAAAGGCGAUGAAGGAUGCGUUUACCUGCAUUAAUCUUCGGCGAGCUGGUAUAAAGCUAUGACCCGGAGGUUUCCGAAUGGGAAAACCCGAUAGAUUAAUAGUCUAUCAUUAUACGCUGAAUCCAUAGGCGUAUAAGGCGAAACCUACUGAACUGAAACAUCUUAGUAAGUAGAGGAAAAGAAAUCAAAGAGAUUCCCUGUGUAGCGGCGAGCGAAAGGGGAACAGUCUAAACCAUAUUUUUAAUAUGGGGUUGUAGGGUCGAUAACGUGAGAUCUUAAGUUUUAGUUGAAUAUUUCUGGAAAGUUGAACGAUACAGGGUGAUAGUCCCGUAAACGAAAAAACAAAAGACUCUAUUCGAUUCCUGAGUAGAACUAGACACGUGAAGCCUAGUUUGAAUCUGGGGAGACCACUCUCCAAGACUAAAUACUAAUCAAUGACCUAUAGUGAACCAGUCCUGUAAAGGAAAGGUGAAAAGAACCCUUGUUAAGGGAGUGAAAUAGAACCUGAAACCAGUAGCUUAUAAGCGGUCGAAGACCUAUAACUCUUCGGAGUGAUGGUUGACGGCGUGCCUUUU
rnacentral:rRNA from 1 species